rnacentral:rRNA from 1 species
UACGAAGGGGGCUAGCGUUGCUCGGAAUUACUGGGCGUAAAGAGCUCGUAGGCGGCUUGUCGCGUCGACUGUGAAAACCCGCGGCUCAACUGCGGGCUUGCAGUCGAUACGGGCAGGCUAGAGUUCGGUAGGGGAGACUGGAAUUCCUGGUGUAGCGGUGGAAUGCGCAGAUAUCAGGAGGAACACCGAUGGCGAAGGCAGAUCUCUGGGCCGUAACUGACGCUGAGGAGCGAAAGCAUGGGGAGCGAACAGG